CUUCAGGAGUGAAGCUGCAGACCUUCGCGUGAUGGAGGUUGAGAAGUCCAACUUCAAGGCACCACAUCUGGUGAGAGCCUUCAUUCCGAUGACAGCCUUCAUGCUGGUAAGAUUUUCUUCAGAGUUCCAAGGUGGUGCACGGCAUCACAUGGCGAAGGAAAUGAGCGUGCUAGCUCAGGUGUCUCUUCCUCUUCUUAUAAAGCCACCAGUCCCACUCCUGUGCUAGUAACUCUUUAAUCCAUCAACCCAUUAAUCCAUGAAUAGAUUAACCCAUGAGGCCUCUGCCCUCAGGACCCAAUCACCUCUUAAAGGCCUGACCUGUCAAUAUUGCCAUACUGGGGACUCAGUUUCAACAUGAGUUUUGAAAGGGACAAACAUUCAAUCCAUAGUAACAUGAGAGCUUUUCAAAGCCCUUCUUUGUUGAAGUAUGUCCUUCUCCAGCCUCUUUUUUCCCAGGCUUUUUGUUUUUUCUAUUGCUUGUGCAGCUGUUAUCCUUUGCUACAGGUGGCAAUAGCUAAUACAUUUGCCUUUAAAUUUGUUUGACAAACACCACCCUGGAAGUAGCCUCAACUCUGGGGAAGCUCCAAGACAGGUAAAAUACAGCAACCUGCAGCAGGAAAAUGGGCUUCAGUUUUCAAGUCUGCAGCUGAGUUGGGAAGUUGCGGACAGUAACCAGGAUCGCUGUCCUUAUAAGAAGUGGAAGAAACAUCAGAGAGCUCUCCCUCUCCACACACACAGAGGAAAGGCCACAUGGGGACAAGAGAGGGCAACUGUCUACAAAUCUGGAAGAGAGACUUCAGAAGAAACCAGCACUGAUGGCAUCUGAUCUUGGACUUCCAGCCUCUGGAUCUAUCUGCCAGAGCCUGAUCUCAUACACACUGAUGUGGUACAGGAAAUGCCACCUGAAAAUAUGGUACCUUGGCAUUUGAGGAAACAGUAGAAGGAGGUCAUAGAAACUAGAAAGAAUUCCUCCUUGCUCUUUGUCCCCCAAAGGAGCCAUAAAACCUGGGCCGAGUUUCUUCUGAAAAUAAGUUAUAAGAUCCUUAUUCCAGAGGGGUCCUGCCCUGUGCCUGGAGGAAAAGAAUGAAGACACAGAGAUGCCUUGAAGAAUCUGAACAAACAGCCCUUGCUAAGUUCCCCCCAGUUUAUUGACAUUAGAUUAGACCUUUUGUCCUCCAAUUAUACUUCUGUGUUCCUGAAAAUACACAUUUUCCCGUUUUUUCUUUUGUUUGCUUUUUUUGAUCUUCAUUUCUGAAGAUUCCCAUGUCAUGUAAAAUAUAUGUUAAACAAAUGUG
rnacentral:lncRNA from 1 species